rnacentral:lncRNA from 1 species
CAUGGUAGUGGCUGCAGGUCAGUUGUUAUAGCUCUUCUGCAGAAAGUGGUAGGGUUCAAGUCCAUUUCUUAUUCUAGGACUCAGGCUAGCAGAUAAGGAACCAUUGGGGCAUGACUCCUCAGAGCAGAGGACACAGGAGCAAGAAACCAAACUGAACCAAGCAAUCACAUUUAAAUUUUUUUCUUGGAUGACUUAUGCCAUAUUUGCUCAUGUUCCACUGGCCAAAGCAAGUCAAAUGGCCAAACUCAACAUCUAUGGUGUAUGCAAAGAUACUUCACUACGGGCAGAGGAUUCUCCUUGCCACGGCCAGAAGUGGAAGCAGUAAUGUCUGCUCCAGCAGCCGCGGAAAGGGAACAUCCUCUGAAGGUUGCAUUUCUACCAAUGGGAUCCUGGGGUCCCACCUCCGGGCCUCUCAGCUGGGGUCCCCUCACUUGGGAUCAGAGCGCACAGGUCAAGAAGACCUUCAUCUGAUGAAGAUGCUCCUUGCCAAACCAGUACCUUUCUCCAUGGGGCUAGGUGGCUGCAGUCCUAGCCAGGGUCAACUCUUGUUUAUGGAGAAUGGAAAACAGUGGACAGAAGAAGAUUAUCUGCAGAGGUGGAAUGGUGGAUUGCUUCUUCUCUGGGGCCACAUGAGAAGGCAAUUCCUGAGAGAGCAAUCAGACCAGAACAAAGUGCAUUCACCUUCUUGUUAACUGAUCAACAUCUGUUUCCAGAUGUUUCCCUGUGCUGGUUAUAUAGUUUGUGCUCAUUCACAUGCAAAGCCUCUCUCCGUGUAGCUCAGCAGAUGCCAUCAACAGCUCCUCAGUUUGGUAGGGAUAGGCUCUGUCUGCAACAGUCUCAUAACUGCAACCUAGCAAUGCUGGCACCAAAGUCAGAGCUCGGAACUCACUGCAAAAGGCACCCCCUCGGUGCACAGAUGAUGCAGCGGAUCAGUGUCUUUCUCACCAUGGUGACAGCAGUUGACAUGGAAACAGUUGUUCUCGCUUAUAUACAUAAUCAUUGCCCCUCACUCAGGCUUGCCAAAUGUUGAAAAUAUCUGUCUGCCCAGCAUUCAUUUCUUCCAUCUCUAGGAAAUGCACCAAGAUUAUCUUUUGGGAAAUCAUCUGGACUGAACAUCCAAACCAUUUGUUUUGGAUAUUAUUUGUCCAAACUCAGCAUGUGACCAAUACCUGGUAAAACUGAGCCAUAGGAAUGUGUAACCAAGCCAUUCUGAGCCCAUGAGUGUCAGGUCCAGAUUUUGCUAGAACGAUUGGGAAAGUGACAGGGUUUUGCCUGACAUUAUAUGCUGAUGGAAAAGAAGCCUGUGGCGGCUGGAAGCUGUCUGUACCACCAGCUGUGUAGAACAUGCUUGAAAAUAAAGAAAAUUUAGAGGAAAAAAAGAGCUGAGGA